rnacentral:rRNA from 1 species
CCUACGGGUAGCAGCAGUCGAGAAUCAUUCACAAUGGGGGAAACCCUGAUGGUGCGACGCCGCGUGGGGGAAUGAAGGUCUUCGGAUUGUAAACCCCUGUCAUGUGGGAGCAAAUUAAAAAGAUAGUACCACAAGAGGAAGAGACGGCUAACUCUGUGCCAGCAGCCGCGGUAAUACAGAGGUCUCAAGCGUUGUUCGGAAUCACUGGGCGUAACGCGUGCGUAGGCUGUUUCGUAAGUCGUGUGUGAAAGGCGCGGGCUCAACCCGCGGACGGCACAUGAUACUGCGAGACUAGAGUAAUGGAGGGGGAACCGGAAUUCUCGGUGUAGCAGUGAAAUGCGUAGAUAUCGAGAGGAACACUCGUGGCGAAGGCGGGUUCCUGGACAUUAACUGACGCUGAGGCACGAAGGCCAGGGGAGCGAAAGGGAUUAGAUACCCGAGUAGUC